rnacentral:rRNA from 1 species
UACGUAGGGGCGAGCGUUGUCCGGAAUUAUUGGGCGUAAAGAGCGUGUAGGCGGUUCGGUAAGUCUGCCGUGAAAACCUGGGGCUCAACCCUGGGCGUGCGGUGGAUACUGCCGGGCUAGAGGGUGGUAGAGGCGAGUGGAAUUCCCGGUGUGAGCGGUGAAAUGCGCAGAUAUCGGGAGGAACACCAGUAGCGAAGGCGGCUCGCUGGGCCAUUCCUGACGGCUGAGACGCGAAAGCUAGGGGAGCGAACAGG